rnacentral:rRNA from 1 species
UACAGAGGAGCCAAGCGUUGUCCGGAUUGACUGGGCGUAAAGCGCACGCAGGCGGACGCGCGCGUGGGGUGUGAAAUCUGGCCGCUUAACGGCCAGGCGCCAUCCCAUACGGCGCGACUGGAGUGAUGCAGAGGUCGAUGGAAUUGCCGGUGUAGUGGUGAAAUGCGUAGAUAUCGAGAGGAACACCUGCGGCGAAGGCGGGUUGCUGGGCUGACACUGACGCUGAGGCGCGAAAGCCAGGGGAGCGAACGGG